GAGGCUUUAGUAAAAGAGGAUAUUUGUUUUCCUGCGUUAUUCCCAACGUACUACAAUUCCAUUCCAUCCCUGUUGAAGAUGAGAGCGCAGCGUGGACAUGAGUUUCAGCUAUCUGGCAAGUGCUGGGUACGUAGAUGAGCUCUGUGUCUGGGAGUCCUCUGAAUGUCCGCUGAUUCCACGCCAGACCCUGGACCUGGACCAUUUCAGAAUACCAAGGAAAACAAAAUGCCCCUGAGGACCUUUGAUUUGUGGAGACCAGACCUGCCUGAGUCUGCCAGGACAUGGUGAUUGUAAGCAGCAGAGGGCUGGUAGGAGCUGACAAGUCCAAGAAAGAAUGGGAGAUAUUCUGAGUGAAAGACAUGUUUGCUUAGCACCCAUCCACCAUUCUGUGAAAAUCCAGGGCCAUCCGUGUGGAUUACGAGGGACUAAUUCUGCUCUGGAUCCAUGGAUGUGCACAGGACCCAGGACUGGUGCAUCAGAGCACUCCAUCUCCUUACCCACGGGGAUUAGGGGAGAGGUGGGCACAUGAGCCAAGCGUGGACACUGAGAACACUCCAUCCUUUGACUAUAGAGACUGGUUCCUGGGAUGCUAAACCAAACCAUUCCUGAAACUUCUCUAAGCCAUCUGAAAGUCUGUGUUCCCCUUCCUCUGAGAUAACAAGUUAGAAAAUGUGAAAUAACCUUGGGGCUUCUGGUAACCAUCUUUGGAAAGAUAUGGAACAUCUUUAUAUGGGUAUAACACCACUAUAGAUAGAAAAUGAGCCAUGAGAUGAAGAAAAAGAGAGUUCCCUCAUGAUUAGAACCCUCAAUCCAGAUUCCCAGUUACUUGAGCCAGUAAAUUUCCUUGUUUGUUUAAGGUAGUGUAGAUUGGGUUUCCAUCACUUGCAACCAAAAGAAUCAUGGCUAAUACACCUGACCCAUGAGAAAUGAACAGAAAGGUCUUAGUGGGUGGGAAAAACCAAAUACCUUGGUUUCCAAUAAUGAUUAUUUUAAAAUGCCCUAACAUUUUAAUACCUACCUACCUUGUUACCUUCUGUAAAAAAGAUUAAUGGUAAAUGGCCUUUAGAUUUGGCCUGGGGAAGGUGAUUUGGUUUGACUAUUUGCCUAACUUUCUUUUCUGAUUGUGUCUUUAGUUACUAAUUAAGGAUCUGUGGUCAGAUAGGUUUUUAAAAAAAUGCAUUCCUUAGUUAACUUUUUACAGGCUGUGAAUUUAUAAAAUUUUCUGAAUACAUAGAAGCAUAUUUAUCUGUUAAACUUUCUCUGAACCAGUUCUUAGAACAAACUUUCUCUCAUAUGUUGUCAGUUGAUUUUUAAAAGCCAACUUCUCAGCACAGUACAUGUAUCAGGACCACAGAGUUGAAUCUGAAGAAAUAAAAGAAAUAAGGGUAUUGCUCAUAAGGCCGGUCAUUCCAGCACUGGCACAGUCGAAUUCAGAGAGUAAAAGAAUCUGGGUAAAUGAUUAUAUAACCAAACUAAAAGACUUCUCUUCAAUCUGAGUGUGUUUGUUUCUGUUUUGGAUGAUUAUUUAAGAGUGACAUGGUUUCCCUCUGGCCACUGUCUUUAUUUUCUUUGGAUCUUUAUUCAUUGUGUGUGACAUGUACUGCCUAGGACCCUGAAGUUGCUGAAUGUCUUACAAGGAACCAGCUCCAAAGGACCCACUUGCCAGUGCAAACACGUCCGACAGGUUUAGUGACCCUGCUGUGCAUAUAAGUAGCUGAACCGGCCAAGCCCGGGCUCUUCCUUGGUAUACAACCAAGCCCAGGGUUAUUUCUGGUUAUUUCGUCCUGAAUUUUGCUUCCAGGCUCUUUUCCAAACUCCCCUAUCCAAGACUAUCAGUCAAUUUAUGCCCUCUUUCCUUCUUUCACAAAUGUUUAUUGGGGUCUAUGCCUGGGGUUCUAGAAAUGAGUAAGUCUCUGUUUCUUUCUUGAUGGAGUUUCUGGUCCUUUCAGGAAGACGGGUGUAUCAGUGCAUUUAUAACGUCCCCUGAAGGUGUACUGUGGGCUCUCAGAUCAUGGAGGAGGGGAGUUCUUUGAGAUAGAUAUUUUCUCUCUUACAUAUAUUUUCUUGAUGAGUAUGCUAGUGUGCAACUCCCUCCCUUGGAAAUGGUCCUUUUUCAAAACGCUUCUAAAUAAAAGAAAAUAUCAGUUCCUAGCUCUAUGUGCUGGAUAACUAUAAUGCAACUACCAGUUUCCUUACUUUUGAUUUGGAAAUUUUUCAAAUGUCCAGAAAAUUCAGAAGAACAUUAUAAUGAAAGUCUAGUAACUCUUUACCUGGAUUCUCUGUUAACAUUUCCCCCAUAUUUGUUUUACCUUCUCUCUUAGUCUCUCUGUAGUUUGCUGAACUAUUUGAAAGCUGCAGAUAUCAGAGUACUUCUAUCAUAAAAAAAUUCAAAAAUAUUUGCCUAAGAAUAAGGACAUCCUCUUAUAACAACCCAAUAUGAUAAUCACAUCUAAGAAAUUUAACAAUUCUGUAACAUAAUGUACAAUCCACAUUCAGAUCUACCCAGUUGUCUCAAAAAUAUCUUUUAUAGCUGUUCAUUUUUUAAAAAUCCAGUAUAUAAUUGAGGUUUUUAUCUUCUUAGUCUCUAAUCUGGAAUAGUCCUCACCUUUUACUGUUUUUCAUGUUAUUGUGUGUUGGACAGGUUCAGUCCACUUGUAGAAUAUCCCAAAGAUUCCAUUUAUUUGAUGGUUUCUUCAUUAUUCAUUUCCAGUUUAAAAAUAUUGGCAAGAGGGGGCCCUUGACUGGCUUAAUCGGUACACCAUGUGGCUCUUGAUCUUGGGGUCAUGAGCUCAAGCCUCACGUUGGGUGUAAAGAUUAAAUAAAAAUAUUGGCAAAAGAACCAUGGGUCAUUUGAAUAGGUUUUU